rnacentral:SRP_RNA from 1 species
UACCUGUAAUGGGUCUUCAUCAGAAGGUUCACCGUUAUCCACGCACACCUUUCAGUGUACACCUUGGCAGGAGCCCAGUUCGAGUCUUGUGGUGUUCGCUUCACUCCCUUGGGUAACCAGGGAUGCUGGACGAACCUAAGCAAUGAAUGCAAUCGACGAGUGAAGAAAUUCAGCAGUCAGGUAUUCACCAUGAGACGGCGGCGCUGGAAUACUCCCGUCUGGGUUGAAGGGCGUGUGUUGGGCUGGUGGCUCGACUGAUAUU